rnacentral:misc_RNA from 1 species
UCCGAGUUGACCCCGGCAGUCCCCCAUGAGUCCCCGCCAUUACGCGCUGGCAACAUGGAGCAAGGGUUGCGCUCGUUGCGGGACUUAACCCAACAUCUCACGACACGAGCUGACGACAACCAUGCACCACCUGUCACCGGCCCCGAAGGACCCUACAUCUCUGCAGGUUUUCCGGUGAUGUCAAAUCCAGGUAAGGUUCUUCGCGUUGCAUCGAAUUAAGCCGCAUGCUCCGCCGCUUGUGCGGGCCCCCGUCAAUUCCUUUGAGUUUUAGCCUUGCGGCCGUACUCCCCAGGCGGGGCGCUUAAUGCGUUAGCUACGGCACAGAGUCGGUGAACCCGUCCCCACACCUAGCGCCCAACGUUUACGGCAUGGACUAC